UACGAAGGGGGCUAGCGUUGUUCGGAAUUACUGGGCGUAAAGCGUAUGCAGGCGGAUCGUUAAGUCGGGGGUGAAAUCCCGAGGCUCAACCUCGGAACUGCCUUCGAUACUGGCGACCUUCGAGUCCGGGAGAGGUGAGUGGAACUCCGAGUGUAGAGGUGAAAUUCGUAGAUAUUCGGAAGAACACCAGUGGCGAAGGCGGCUCACUGGCCCGGUACUGACGCUGAGAUACGAAAGCGUGGGGAUCGAACAGG
rnacentral:rRNA from 1 species